CCAGCACAGUCUCACGAAGGUGGAUGGAUUCUCUGCAGCCCUCUCUCAGCACCGUGGUCGGGUACCGCUGGGCAGAGCGGACCCCAUUCGCCCGUGCCCCAGGUUAUUUAAGUGAAAAAUGGAGAAAAUGUUAACAAUCCCUUUCUUGCCCUCGCUGGGGCUCUCAGAGGGAGGAGUAAAUCUCUUCUCUAGGAGUUCCCUGGAAGGCAGAUUUUUUAUAGAAACUGGAGAAGCAGGAGGUGUUCAGAGAAGGGAGGUUUGGGACUGAGAGGUCAGUGGAUGCUUCUGGAAGACACAGGCAGGGAGAUUUGAAGGAGGGGAGCUCAGCUGUCAAGUUGUGGAUUUGGUCUCUCUCUCUCUCUCUCUCUCUCUCUCUCUCUCUCUCUCUCUCUCUCUUUAGAAUCUUUUGGUGAGGUUGGAUUCUAAUCAGACCAACCUGAAUGGAAAUCGAGUUGCUUUUAAAUAUCACCUACCACAAUAUAAUUUGGGAUUGUUUGAAAAAUGCAAUGCGCUCGUGACGAGCCAUUAGAAAAAGCUGCAGAACGUGCCUGGGCUACAUAAGCCUGAGUUCCCAGUGUAUCCAGCACACGUUGUUCAUGGGGGUCUGCAAGGGGCCCUGAGGGUACCCACCCUGUUGGUGGGCAAGUUCAUGCUUUCAUGAGUUUAACGGGUAAGUGGCAAAGGACUGUUCACAGUCAGGCCAAGACAGGUGACGCAGACAGGAAGGAGCGGUGGAGAAAACGCAGCCAUGGGCCAGCAAGAGUGUGUUGGGUAGAGAAACUCUUUCUGCUCAGGGCAGGCCCCAAAAUGGAAAACCAAAUAUCCAUCAACAGGAAGACGGGUAAGCAAUAAGCAACUCAGUGACCUAGCAUCAUGCAGAGAACUCACAUAGAGAGUGCUGGGCACAGGAAACAAGGCACAAAGGAGUAUGCACUGUCUGAAUCCACUAAUGUGCCCAUCAAGAACAGAUGGUAGAACUCACAAUCAUGGUUGCAAUGGGAAGGAUUCACUAGAGUGGAACACCCAGGAUGCUGGAAACGUGGAUCUUCUUGAGAACGUGGCACAGGCACAUUCUAAAGUGAAACUGAACCGUGCUUAAUAUUUGAAAUAUGUACACAUCUUGUGUGUUAAUUAGACUUUAAUGAUAAAGUUAAUAAACAUGUUGUGGUUUAAAUAUGAGGUGUCCCCCCCCCGCUUCCAAAGCUCAUUUUUUAGACAAUGCCAGAAUUUUUAGAGGUGAAAGACUGGGUUAUAAGAGCCUUAACCUAAUCAGUGGAUUAAUCCACUUGAAUGGAUUAACUGGGUGGUGACUUUAGGCAGGUAGGGUGGGGCUGGAGAAAGUAGGUCACUAGGGAUGGGCCUUUGGGGUUUAUGUUUUGUCCCUGGUGAGUGGAGUUUUCUCUCUCUCUCUCUCUCUCUCUCUCUCUCUCUCUCUCUCUCUCUCUCUCCUUCCUGUCCGCCAUGUCCCAAGCUGCUUUCUUCCUCCACCAAUGGAAUUGGC
rnacentral:lncRNA from 1 species